rnacentral:rRNA from 1 species
AUUGAACGCUGGCGGCAUGCCUUACACAUGCAAGUCGAACGGCAGCACGGGAGCAAUCCUGGUGGCGAGUGGCGAACGGGUGAGUAAUAUAUCGGAACGUGCCCAGUCGGUGGGGGAUAACGUAGCGAAAGCUACGCUAAUACCGCAUACGAUCUAUGGAUGAAAGCGGGGGAUCGCAAGACCUCGCGCGAUUGGAGCGGCCGAUAUCAGAUUAGGCAGUUGGUGAGGUAAAGGCUCACCAAGCCGACGAUCUGUAGCUGGUCUGAGAGGACGACCAGCCACACUGGGACUGAGACACGGCCCAGACUCCUACGGGAGGCAGCAGUGGGAAUUUGGACAAUGGGCGCAAGCCUGAUCCAGCAAUGCCGCGUGCAGGAUGAAGGCCUUCGGGUUGUAAACUGCUUUUGUACGGAACGAAACGGUGAGCUCUAAUACAGUUUGCUAAUGACGGUACCGUAAGAAUAAGCACCGGCUAACUACGUG